rnacentral:misc_RNA from 1 species
UCUCCGUUGGUGAACCAGCGGAGGGAUCAUUACCGAGUUUACAACUCCCAAACCCCUGUGAACAUACCAUUUGUUGCCUCGGCGGUGCCUGCUUCGGCAGCCCGCCAGAGGACCCAAACCCUUGAUUUUAUACAGCAUCUUCUGAGUAAAUGAUUAAAUAAAUCGAAACUUUCAACAACGGAUCUCUUGGUUCUG